GACGAACGCUGGCGGCGUGCUUAACACAUGCAAGUCGAGCGGUAAGGCCUUUCGGGGUACACGAGCGGCGAACGGGUGAGUAACACGUGGGUGAUCUGCCCUGCACUCUGGGAUAAGCUUGGGAAACUGGGUCUAAUACCGGAUAUGACCACAGCAUGCAUGUGUUGUGGUGGAAAGAUUUAUCGGUGCAGGAUGGGCCCGCGGCCUAUCAGCUUGUUGGUGGGGUAAUGGCCUACCAAGGCGACGACGGGUAGCCGACCUGAGAGGGUGACCGGCCACACUGGGACUGAGACACGGCCCAGACUCCUACGGGAGGCAGCAGUGGGGAAUAUUGCACAAUGGGCGGAAGCCUGAUGCAUCGACGCCGCGUGAGGGAUGAAGGCCUUCGGGUUGUAAACCUCUUUCAGCAGGGACGAAGCGUGAGUGACGGUACCUGCAGAAGAAGCACCGGCUAACUACGUGCCAGCAGCCGCGGUAAUACGUAGGGUGCGAGCGUUGUCCGGAAUUACUGGGCGUAAAGAGUUCGUAGGCGGUUUGUCGCGUCGUUUGUGAAAACCCGGGGCUCAACUUCGGGCUUGCAGGCGAUACGGGCAGACUUGAGUGUUUCAGGGGAGACUGGAAUUCCUGGUGUAGCGGUGAAAUGCGCAGAUAUCAGGAGGAACACCGGUGGCGAAGGCGGGUCUCUGGGAAACAACUGACGCUGAGGAACGAAAGCGUGGGUAGCAAACAGGAUUAGAUACCCUGGUAGUCCACGCCGUAAACGGUGGGCGCUAGGUGUGGGUUCCUUCCACGGGAUCUGUGCCGUAGCUAACGCAUUAAGCGCCCCGCCUGGGGAGUACGGCCGCAAGGCUA
rnacentral:rRNA from 1 species